rnacentral:rRNA from 1 species
UACGGGGGGGGCAAGCGUUGUUCGGAAUUACUGGGCGUAAAGGGCGCGUAGGCGGCCAUCUAAGUCAGACGUGAAAUCCCCCGGCUUAACCUGGGAACUGCGUCUGAUACUGGACGGCUUGAGUUUGGGAGAGGGAUGCAGGAUUCCAGGUGUAGCGGUGAAAUGCGUAGAUAUCUGGAGGAAUACCGGUGGCGAAGGCGGCAUCCUGGACCAACACUGACGCUGAUGCGCGAAAGCUAGGGGAGCAAACGGG